rnacentral:rRNA from 1 species
GAUGAACGCUGGCGGCGUGCCUAAUACAUGCAAGUCGAGCGAACGGACGAGAAGCUUGCUUUUCUGAUGUUAGCGGCGGACGGGUGAGUAACACGUGGAUAACCUACCCAUAAGACUGGGAUAACUUCGGGAAACCGGAGCUAAUACCGGAUAAUAUUUUGAACCGCAUGGUUCAAAAGUGAAAGACGGUCUUGCUGUCACUUAUAGAUGGAUCCGCGCUGCAUUAGCUAGUUGGUAAGGUAACGGCUUACCAAGGCAACGAUGCAUAGCCGACCUGAGAGGGUGAUCGGCCACACUGGAACUGAGACACGGUCCAGACUCCUACGGGAGGCAGCAGUAGGGAAUCUUCCGCAAUGGGCGAAAGCCUGGCGGAGCAACGCCGCGUGAGUGAUGAAGGUCUUCGGAUCGUAAAACUCUGUUAUUAGGGAAGAACAUAUGUGUAAGUAACUGUGCACAUCUUGACGGUACCUAAUCAGAAAGCCACGGCUAACUACGUG